UACGUAGGGGGCAAGCGGUGUCCGGAAUCAUUGGGCGUAAAGCGCGUGUAGGCGGCCCGGUAAGUCCGCUGUGAAAGUCCAGGGCUCAACCCUGGGAUGCCGGUGGAUACUGUCGGGCUCGAGUCCGGAAGAGGCGAGUGGAAUUCCUGGUGUAGCGGUGAAAUGCGCAGAUAUCAGGAGGAACACCAGUGGCGAAGGCGGCACUCUGGGCCGGUACUGACGCUGAGGAGCGAAAGCGUGGGGAGCGAACAGG
rnacentral:rRNA from 1 species